rnacentral:lncRNA from 10 species
GUAGGGUAAAAAUGACUCAUGUGGCUUCUGCCUCAUGAAUCCUUUAAGGAAGAAAAACAAAAAAUAAUCCUAAGUAGGGUUUCAAGUUAUUAAGUGUCACAGCAAGCUGUAUCCCUGUGGGAGUCCAGAGGAAACUGAAAUUAUCUCCAAUUGUGCAGGUGAGAAAAGGUUUCAUUUAAAGUAUGUGCAGUUAAACCAAGUCCUAUAGGGCAGAAAUAGGAAUUUGGAUAUUUAAGACUGGGGAAAGGGCAUUGUAAAGCAUAGGAAAUUGUUCAAUGCAAAAUGAUAGGAAGUGUUGAUUAGACUUAAUCUAACUCAGCCAACUGGCCUAACUCAUUUUAGUGAAUCAAACCAGAUAUAACUAGUUUUAGCCAGUUACCUAGGUGAUAGCUAUUCAUAGUAAUUUUUGUCAGAAAAGUCUUUUAAAAAUGUUGUACUAUAAUUUUAUGCUUAAUAAAUGAAUUAGAUUACUAUAAAUUAUUUUCGAAUGACUGACUUUUAGUAUUCAAGAAAUUGGAGAUUAACAAUUGCUUAAGAAAACAAAGAGGAUUGAAUUUAAAUAGGACUGGAAAUAGGUGCUAUGUAAAAUAUCUGUUCAAUUGCUCAGAUUAAAUUGAAUAUGUAUAAUCUUUGUUAGGCAACUGAUGACUAUACUUAUUUCACAACUGGUAAUGUGAAUUAUUAUUGCAUAAACUAUAGUGCUGAGGCCCCAGUCUUUA